UACGUAGGGUGCAAGCGUUAAUCGGAAUUACUGGGCGUAAAGCGUGCGCAGGCGGUUGUGCAAGACAGAUGUGAAAUCCCCGGGCUCAACCUGGGAAUUGCAUUUGUGACUGCACGGCUAGAGUGUGUCAGAGGGGGGUAGAAUUCCACGUGUAGCAGUGAAAUGCGUAGAUAUGUGGAGGAACACCGAUGGCGAAGGCAGCCCCCUGGGAUGUGACUGACGCUCAUGUACGAAAGCGUGGGGAGCAAACAGG
rnacentral:rRNA from 1 species